rnacentral:rRNA from 1 species
UUGUUGGGUAGGGGAGCGUUCUGUAAGCCUGCGAAGGUGGCCUGUGAGGGUUGCUGGAGGUAUCAGAAGUGCGAAUGCUGACAUAAGUAACGAUAAAGCGGGUGAAAAGCCCGCUCGCCGGAAGACCAAGGGUUCCUGUCCAACGUUAAUCGGGGCAGGGUGAGUCGACCCCUAAGGCGAGGCCGAAAGGCGUAGUCGAUGGGAAACAGGUUAAUAUUCCUGUACUUGGUGUUACUGCGAAGGGGGGACGGAGAAGGCUAUGUUAGCCGGGCGACGGUUGUCCCGGUUUAAGCAUGUAGGCUGGUUAUCCAGGCAAAUCCGGAUAAUCAAGGCUGAGGUGUGAUGACGAGGCACUACGGUGCUGAAGUAACAAAUGCCCUGCUUCCAGGAAAAGCCUCUAAGCAUCAGGUAACAUCAAAUCGUACCCCAAACCGACACAGGUGGUCAGGUAGAGAAUACCAAGGCGCUUGAGAGAACUCGGGUGAAGGAACUAGGCAAAAUGGUGCCGUAACUUCGGGAGAAGGCACGCUGGUGUGUAGGUGAAGUCCCUGCGGAUGGAGCUGAGACCAGUCGAAGAUACCAGCUGGCUGCAACUGUUUAUUAAAAACACAGCACUGUGCAAACACGAAAGUGGACGUAUACGGUGUGACGCCUGCCCGGUGCCGGAAGGUUAAUUGAUGGGGUUAUCCGUAAGGAGAAGCUCUUGAUCGAAGCCCCGGUAAACGGCGGCCGUAACUAUAACGGUCCUAAGGUAGCGAAAUUCCUUGUCGGGUAAGUUCCGACCUGCACGAAUGGCGUAAUGAUGGCCAGGCUGUCUCCACCCGAGACUCAGUGAAAUUGAACUCGCUGUGAAGAUGCAGUGUACCCGCGGCAAGACGGAAAGACCCCGUGAACCUUUACUAUAGCUUGACACUGAACAUUGAGCCUUGAUGUGUAGGAUAGGUGGGAGGCUUUGAAGCGUGGACGCCAGUCUGCGUGGAGCCAACCUUGAAAUACCACCCUUUAAUGUUUGAUGUUCUAACGUUGGCCCCUUAUCGGGGUUGCGGACAGUGUCUGGUGGGUAGUUUGACUGGGGCGGUCUCCUCCCAAAGCGUAACGGAGGAGCACGAAGGUUAGCUAAUCCUGGUCGGACAUCAGGAGGUUAGUGCAAUGGCAUAAGCUAGCUUGACUGCGAGCGUGACGGCGCGAGCAGGUGCGAAAGCAGGUCAUAGUGAUCCGGUGGUUCUGAAUGGAAGGGCCAUCGCUCAACGGAUAAAAGGUACUCCGGGGAUAACAGGCUGAUACCGCCCAAGAGUUCAUAUCGACGGCGGUGUUUGGCACCUCGAUGUCGGCUCAUCACAUCCUGGGGCUGAAGUAGGUCCCAAGGGUAUGGCUGUUCGCCAUUUAAAGUGGUACGCGAGCUGGGUUUAGAACGUCGUGAGACAGUUCGGUCCCUAUCUGCCGUGGGCGCUGGAGAAUUGAGGGGGGCUGCUCCUAGUACGAGAGGACCGGAGUGGACGCAUCACUGGUGUUCGGGUUGUCAUGCCAAUGGCACUGCCCGGUAGCUAAAUGCGGAAGAGAUAAGUGCUGAAAGCAUCUAAGCACGAAACUUGCCCCGAGAUGAGUUCU